AUUGAACGCUGGCGGCAGGCCUAACACAUGCAAGUCGAACGGUAACAGGAAGCAGCUUGCUGCUUUGCUGACGAGUGGCGGACGGGUGAGUAAUGUCUGGGAAACUGCCCGAUGGAGGGGGAUAACUACUGGAAACGGUAGCUAAUACCGCAUAACGUCGCAAGACCAAAGAGGGGGACCUUAGGGCCUCUUGCCAUCGGAUGUGCCCAGAUGGGAUUAGCUAGUAGGUGGGGUAACGGCUCACCUAGGCGACGAUCCCUAGCUGGUCUGAGAGGAUGACCAGCCACACGUGAACUGAGACACGGUCCAGACUCCUACGGGAGGCAGCAGUGGGGAAUAUUGGACAAUGGGCGCAAGCCUGAUGCAUCCAUGCCGCGUGUAUGAAGAAGGCCUUCGGGUUUUAAAGUACUUUCGUCGGGGAGGAAAGGAGUAACGUUAAUACCUUGGCUCAUUGACGUUACCCUAAGAAGAAGCACCGGCUAACUCCGUG
rnacentral:rRNA from 1 species